rnacentral:lncRNA from 1 species
GCUAAACCAACAUCUCCAGUCUCCUAGGAGAGUGCCCUAAAGUGCCCCACAAGAAGUUUUUUCUUUCCUAAUGAAGUUCUCCUACUGUGAAACAAAAUAUUCAAGAUUCAUUGGAUCAUCAAUACCGUAGGCUACUGUCCCCAGGAGGAAGAGAUGGAUGUGCCCUGCUCAAUAGGAAGAGAGCUGCCUGGAAAGCUGAUACCUUCCUGAUGAGUGACAUCUCUGAGCUGACAGGAGCGCUGCAAAGCGAAGCAGCCGGG